rnacentral:rRNA from 1 species
AAGGGCCCACCAAGGGGACGAUGGGUAGCCGGUCUGAGAGGAUGAUCGGCCACACUGGGACUGGAACACGGCCCAGACUCCUACGGGAGGCAGCAGUGGGGAAUAUUGCGCAAUGGGCGAAAGCCUGACGCAGCGACGCCGCGUGAGGGAUGAAGGUCCUCGGAUCGUAAACCUCUGUCAGGAGGGAAGAACCGCCACGGUGCUAAUCAGCCGUGGUCUGACGGUACCUCUAAAGGAAGCACCGGCUAACUCCGUGCCAGCAGCCGCGGUAAUACGGAGGGUGCGAGCGUUAAUCGGAAUCACUGGGCGUAGAGCGCACGUAGGCUGCUUGGUAAGUCAGGGGUGAAAGCCCGCGGCUCAACCGCGGAAUUGCCUUUGAUACUGCCGAGCUAGAGUCCGGGAGAGGGUAGUGGAAUUCCAGGUGUAGCAGUGAAAUCCGUAGAGAUCUGGAGGAACAUCAGUGGCGAAGGCGACUACCUGGACCGGUACUGACGCUGAGGUGCGAAAGCGUGGGGAGCAUACAGGAUUAGAUACCCUGGUAGUCCACGCC